CAGAGCCCCCCUGACUUGUUCUGUGCCAGCUGUGGGCAAUGCUGCAACAGCAGCAGCAAAGCAGCAAGCACAGCAUGCUGCGAGCAUGGCAGGUCAUGGUCCUCUCCCAGUGCCUCCUCCUCUUUCUGGUGGUCCUGCAAGCCCAGGACAACCAGUCUGCUCCAGUACAAGGGCAGGGAGCAGAUGUGGCCAGAGAAAGGGCUUUUCCAGCUCCUCAGGUGGAUUCUGUGCUGGUUCCCAGCUUAUAUCCCACAGGUAAAACAGGGAAUGAUUUCCAGAAGACACUUGAAGUUAAAAAGAAGGUUCUGAAAGGCUUGGAGGAAACUGGAAAUGGGCAAGAGCUUGAAGAAAAGGCCACAACAAAGAAACCUAGAUGGCUGGACACGUACUGUAUUCUAGGGAUGACAGUGGGCUUGUGUGUGCUUCUGCUUUGGAUAAUUGUAUGUUGCAUAGGCCUGUCAUGGCUGAGGGAGAAAGACAUAGGGUUCUAGAGAUGUGGAGCAGCACUGGAACAAGCUCUGGAAAAGCAAAGAUCAAAGAGGUAGAGGUGAAACAGAGUCAGGAGGAAGACCAGCAUGCAGAUCUCCCAACUCUGCCCACAUGUUUCAGCUGCUCUCUGGCUGAUGGUGCCUCUUCACAGGACAACUGGGUAUCUGUGGAUUCACCUCACCCCACAACAUCCCAGUGUCCCUGUAACCAGUAUCAACAGGGAUAUUGUGCUUCAGAAGACCAUUUUUUUUUCAAUUAAUAAUAUAUAUAUGGUUUAUUUUUUUUUCCAAAAAGCAGUGAGUUCUUGCCUGUUUUUGCUCUUUUUGUUUGGGUAAAAUGCACAGAGCUGGCACUAGGGCUGUAUCUGUGAUAGAGGCUGACAGAGACCUGCCCUGCAGUGUGGGACACCUUUGUAUCAGCAUCAGCCUGUUUUCCUCACUGGGGCUGUCAUCAAGGCUUUCCUCCACCAGAAUGGGGUCUUGCUGGUGAGACAUGAGGUGCACAGGCUUGUCCAUGAGCUUACUUGAGAUGUUGCCCUGAAUCAGGAUUGUCUGGGUAGAGAGGGAAGGAAGUGUUCAGAAGGAUGGGCACCCAGUGCUGAGCACAUCAAGGAGGACUGAUGGGGUGACAGAUGCUGCAGGUGCAGCAGUGUCCCCCACCCCAGGGCUCAGAGAUUAUAAAUGAGUGGAAAGUUGGAGCAGGGCUGGGUGGGAGAGAAGAGUAAAAGCAACGUGCUAUUAAUGACAAGGGUGCCAUUAAAAAGAAAACAGAUUUAAAAGAAAUAACAAUAAAUAGAAAUAAUAAUAAUAGUAAUGAUAAAUGUGAAAAGAAAGAGUUUGAGCAUUGCAGACUGUCAGUAAAGGAGAGGAACACCCUUGGAAUACAUCUAAAGUUGUGCUGGCUGAGUACAACAGAUGCCAUCCAGGCUGAUGUGUAGUCUGACUUGCAAGUUGUUUUCAGAACAUGUCAGAUGACACAAAGUACAGACCCCAAAGCCAGUUUUAUGACACCUCUGCCCUGCAACUGUGUCUGAAGGGUACAGCAACCAGGCAGAAAAGGCUUUAGACAUUGUCCUGGGCUGCCUUGCAGGCCAUUAUAAACACCUCUUCCCAGCACACCUCCCGCUGUGCAGAGCCCCCCAUGUCACCCAGUCAGCCCAGCUGCUGACCUGACUGUGCAUUCCCAUUCUGUGCACCUGCAGGAGCUUCCCCCACUGCCUGCUUUGGUCCAUUCAGGUGUCAGCAGCCGACCCUGAAAUUCUUAGUACAGGGAGAGUGUUCAAGUAGAUGCCAGAACAGUUCUCUGAGGAUGGCUGAUGUCUCUGGUGUGUGUAGGUUAUUGCCAGCAGCAUGCCAGAGAGAUGCUCAUAGGGUUUUUAUCUCCCACCACACUCAGUCCCCAGGAAUUCCAGAACUUUGCCCUUUUGAGAAUAAGGCCUUUGGAACUACAGUAAGCAGGGGAUGGGAAUUAUGGCUCUUGACCUUCCAUACAAAAACAACAGAUUCAUAAAAUCAAAGUCAUAGACUCUCAAGUUGGAAGAGACCCACAAGGAUUAUUGAGUCCAACUGCUGGCCCUGCACAGGACACUACAAGAAUCACACCAUGUGCCUGAGAGCAUUGUCCAAAUGCUUCUUGACCUCUGUCAGGCUGGUGCUUCCAGGGAAGCUGCCAUUUGCUGUUCAGUACCCUGCUAUGCACAGCAAGACUGUCACAGGUGGGAACUGCUGUGCUUGUGUGUGUCAAGGCAGUGGUUUUUCAGGGGAUCCCUGUCAUCCACACCAGCUUGUGCAUGUACGUCUAAAAUGUCCCACACAUUUUAGAAAUAUGGAUACAUUUUUUUUCUACCACUCAGGCACAAAAAAAUCUCCAGGAGGAAGAAUAGGACAGAUCUGAGGGAAGAGAGCCCUUUUUAGUAAUGUAUCAGUAUUAUUCCUGUCACCAGGCUAACACAUUGAAGGCAGAUUGAAGGCAGUUCUGCUGAAAAGCCAUUCAGAUGCAGUGAGUAGUUGAGCAAUGGUGUAAUUCAGUGCUGGGCAAACAGCAAAGGGUAGAUUUCUCAGUGAGGCUCUGCACUAUAUAAGUUUGGAUGUGUUCAGGAGUUUGUCUCAGGUUGGACUAUGCUUUUUUUUUUUUUUUCUUUUUAGCUAUCAUGCACUUAUAAAAAUCUAUUUAUGGAAAUUCAGGGGUAUCAUGAAUAAAUGAGAUGGCAUAUUCCUUUCUUCUUUUCGUGAAUUACAGUAUCAACAUUUUAGAGCCUGUUCAUGAAUUAAUAAUUACUUUAAUCAAUAAAAAUAAUUACAGUGCUAAGAACAUUUUAACAAUGAAUGCUUUCAUGCGGUUUUCACUCCUUUUUAAUUAAAGCAUGACAACUCAUAUUUACCAUUUUCAUCAUGAUCUCUCUAAAUGGUGAAAUUUGUCAUCUUUGACUUGGGCUCUAAUUAUAAUUCUUUUAGAUGGUUCAGAUUUCUUCUCAUUAUUCAAUUAUGCUUGCUCCAAUUUUAAACGGAAAAAUUUUUCCUCUCCAAAUCUUUCAUGCUGUAAGAAUAUCUUUGACUUUAUAAUACCCAUUUUAAAUAUUCUAUGCUAGCCAAAAUAAAUGCAAAUUAAAUAUAGGAAAUAGAAAAACAAAUAUAAACUGCUGAAUACAAAUAAAUUUGGGAGAAGACCAAUUAUUUCCAGUUUAAAUGCAUCUAUCUUACUUCAGUAUAGCAUGAAAUAUUGAUAUAAAUUUGCUGCAAGUACAGAAAUUGUAAUAAGACUAUAAUAAGCUUGCAAAAGCAGCAUGCAAACUUAAUUUUUGUGCCUGUGACACAGCCUCCAAUUAAAUGAUCUCUUACUAUUUUUUCGUAUGGAAUCUCUUCCUUGCUUUUUCACUAGAUAGCAUGGCAUUCCCUUAAAUAUGGUAACCUGCUAUGAUAGUCUUCUUCAACCUAUUCUCCAUAAUUGCCUUAGUAUUUUUUAUAGCCUUGGCCAUGUGAGAAAAUAUUUCUUUUCCUGGUCACAGUGAGAUUUGUUUGCCUCAUAAAUUUGUGAGUUCUGUCGGUGCCUCAGCGAUGUUUUGCCUGGUGUGAGCUAAGGGAUUGAGCCACUGAGAAACUACAGGGGAAAUUCUUAUGCUGAGUUGAUCACAAUUAGACAAGUAGGACCUUUUUAAAUUUUUUGCUUUGUAAUACCAUGUAAUGCUAAGAAAUCCUACGAGUACUCUAAGAGAUUUUACUUAUUUCAAGCUCAACCUUCAGGUGCUUCAGGAAUCGACUUAGCCUGGAGACUUCCUCAUGUGGAUUCAUAUUGCCAGAAAAACAUGUGACUGUGAUAGAGGGAUCAGUGAAAUGUCUCUUUGUAUUCCCCAAAUCCCACAAUGGCUUCUUUUGACACCUUGCUGAUAUUAUUUUUGUCAUUACAUGCCUUUGGUACAAAACGUAUGCAGCAACUUGCUUUCCAGCACAUCAGCUUUGCUUGCAAACAGUGGAGUAAAGAGGUGCAUUUGGGCAGGUGACAGUAUGCUCCAGUUGCUGUGCCUGUCAGGUGGUUUCACCUAUCCUAAGGAUGUUUUCAGCUGACUUUUUUGGUUUUCAGUCACUGCAUAACAAUCUGCCUAAAAAGCCAAAUAUCUCCUCCUGUGCCUGUCAGAAACUGUCACUUACAGCCAGACUGCUGCUUCAGGAAUUUGUUGGGCAUCAGUCUGCAAACAGAUCCCAAAAUUUGAAUCUAGCCUCCAUGAACUACUCUGAUGGGACAAUUAAGGACCAAAUUAUAGUUUGUGUGCAUGGAGGGGAGUAAGUUAAAUUGGCAGACAAAACCAGAUUCCUGCUGUCAUGUCUCUGGAGUGCUUGUCUUAAAGUCAUCACAAAGUUGUUUCAACACAAUUUUGUGCCUGCACUUUCCAGUAGAUUUAGAGGAUCCAUUAGGAAGAAAGUAGCAAAUAAUUCAGGACAGAAAUAGGUCAUCAUAAGGAUUAAAAAAUUUGAGAUGCACAGUUCAGAGUUUUGCUGCUGAAACUAAAUUAGCAGUCAGCAGCUGCUUUCUCUGAUUGACUUUUUCAAUAACCUCAUACAAACUGGCUUACCGUGCUGGAAAUCCUGGGGUCAAUUCCAGCUCUGGAAAAAAGUGUGCUUCUAGGUGUCCGUGUCCCUGCUGCCUUUUACCAAACACUUCUGACCUGUCCUGCUUUGUCUCUUCUUUGUGGCCAAGUCUUUUUUCAGAAUUUUUCCUUGCUUCUUCCAGCUUGUUCUCCAUGGAGGCUCUUCAGGCUCUGUCUGGGCAUUCCUGUCUGUUCCUGGGGGCUGCACUGUUUGCACAUUGGAUUACACUGUGGUAUUUAGUACCAAUACAGUAGUUAAAAAAAGGAACAAAAGUAUAAAACUUGAUAAUAGUUACAUUCUGUUUUUUUAUCUGGAGGGCAAUGCCCCAUUACAAAAUAUGCCUAUAAGUGCUGCUUUACUUGUAAUUGAGAUUAGUUGGUAUAUGAAAUUCUUGUUGGCUUUUUGCACACAGCAGAUUUAAUUUGUGGUAUAUUAAUUGCAUUUGGUGUGUUAUCAUAGUGCAUUUUAAUAGCAAAAAUUAUUUUUAGGAAUUUUUCACUUUGUGUGGAUCACAGAAUUGAGGAAGUGUAUUUUUUAAGGUAUUUGUAUAGUCUGUUUUUUGCAAGGAAUAUGGACAGCUUUGGACUGGAUUGUCACAUAUGCAAACAACUAAGAGACAAUCACUGAUUCUUACAUUUUCUUUUUUUCAGUGACAGAGAAUAGAUUUUUGUGAAAUCCAAAGCAGUAGUUGCUAGUUCAGUAUGGACAGUAAUUGCUUUAAUGAAGCAGAGAGGAGCUCAGAUACCUAUUUUCCUGGCAUGUAUUCUGCAAGAUACUAAACAGCUUAAAUAUUACACCCAAAUCCAAUGUCAAAAUGUUUUUCCUGUUAUUUCUUGAAUCCAGAAUAUUAAUAUACGUCCAAAAAGUAGGUUGAGCAAAUAUUUGCAUUUAGUGGAUUUAUCAUUUGCUAUUGGCACCUACCUUUAAUUAUUUCAAGACAUCUGAGAAUACUUUGCCCUGACAUGAUACAGAUUUUCCUUUAAAAAAGGCAUAAAAAAAUAAUUGCUCUAUAAGAUGUAACAUUUAUGAGGUUGUGUGAAUAGUUGCAUAAUGUGCACAUGGUGAAAGCUGUGCAUUUCAUGUUAAAUACAAGAAUGACUGUGCACUGGGAGGGAAUAUUUAAGAAAUCAUGAGAACUAUAAAAGGCCAUCUGCUUCAUGCUCCAUUUUCAUUUGCUGGAUUAACCCACUGCAAUAUUUAAAUAGAUAAUGAAUUGGCGUUUCAUCUACUCAUUAGAUUUUUCAUGGCACAAACACACCUCAUAAUGAAAAAAGUUUCCUUUCUAUGCAGGGAGAGAGCAGUUGUUCAGGAAGAGGAAAAGACAAAGCAUAAUGUGACAAAUGGCAUGGACUACACCUUUGCUGUUAACCUUUGAUGUAAUUCCAGGUUUUCCUGCUUGCUCUUGACUGUCUUCAACAGUGGUCCUAAUGUUGCUAUGGAGUUGCAAAUGGCGAAUGAAGAGUGGGAUCCUGUCACUGUCCUCCCUCCCGUUCUUUUGGGCAGUCCCCUUCCAUGAGUAGGAGAGGGAGUGGGGCAGGUGUGCUGUGUUCUGCUUUCUCUGCCUGCUUGCAUGGAUUGUUGCUGCCGAAGUCUUCAUUUCAGCAGAAACAUGGAACUGUGCAAUCGUUUGGGUUGGACCUUCAAAGCGUCUAGUUCAACCCCCCCCUCUGCCAUGUUCAGGGACAUCUUCCAGUAGAUCAGGCUGCUUAGGGCCCCAUCCAACCUGAUUCUGAGCACUUUGAAUAGCUCCUAGGCUGAUCUGACCCUUCUCUUUGCUGAGAUUAGCAGAGUUGACAGGUUCAGUAACAUGAAGCUUGUGCAAAACAUUCUUUCACCUCUUUUUUUUUCCUCCUCUUUUGUACCAAACAGGGGCAAUGGAGAAGGAGUCGCUGUGUGGUUGCCAGUGUGCUCUGAGGCUGGACCUCAGUUUUGUGCUUUGCUGCAACAGCAGACAGUAUUUGAGUCUCAUAGUUCUAUAAAUAUGCAUUACUGCUCUGCCUAACCAAAUAAGCAGUGCUCCUUUGUUUUGUAAAGUUUUCCAGGGAGUGUUUUUUUAACGAACAAGCAUUUCAAGGUGGUAGGGAAAGCCCUUUCAGUGAAGGCUAAGUCCUGGGUAUGUUUGCAUUUUUAAAAAAAGAGGGAGUAAUCUUGAGUGUUCUGAUGUUAUUUUUAGGAUGGGAGGAUGGCUGAAGAAUUAUUUACCAUAAUAUUAUUUGAAGAUAAUAAACUGCAUAGUCGGAUUUACCUAAAUAGGCCUGAUAAAACAUUUUAAUCUUUCCAGUGUAAUUAUUGUUAUAUUGCAGAAACACAAAGCAAAUUAUAGCCAAAGCCUUAGAAUCUGAUGUUUGCAACAAAAAUAUGUUGCAGAAGGACAUUUGAAUAAAUUGUUAAAAGAGAAAGGCAUCUGGUUUGGAUGACCCACCAACCCUGGAGUAAAUGCAGGUGAUCAGUCCAGAGCUUAUGUUUUCAUAAAAAAUCCUGUUAUCUCACAGUCUCAAUUCUGAAUGGAAACAGCCCAUUAAGAUCUCAUUGCUAGGCUGAAUGCAUGGUUCAGAUUACUGUUUUCCCCAUGUGUACCACAUUUGUUUACACUGAAUUUCACUUGCCAUUUUAUUGACUAAUCACUCGAUUUCAUGAGGUUUUUCUGCAGUUCUCUUCCCUCACAGCAUAAAUUGCAGGCUCCACAGUGCUUCUGCCUAGAGGCAGACUGUUUGCUAUCAUGCAAUUCAGUCUGAACUAUCUUACUGUCCUACUUUAGCACCUAUUUGUGAAAUAGGAUUUUAUCCCUCAGUUCUUCCUUCUGAGUUCAGUUUUGCAGGAACUCAAGCUCUUCGUCAUUCCCUCGCCUUCUUUUGGAGAAAAGAAUAUUUAAAAAUUCAUGGGCUGAAAUGCUUCUUCCUGGAUUUCUUGUUCUGUGUGAGAGCAUUUCCCUUUCAUAAUGGGCAGUUUCAGUUUUUUUUUUUUUUUUUGUUGUUUGUUUUUUUGGGUUUUUUUUUGGUUUUUUGGGUUUUUUGUUUAGGAAAAUGACUUGCCUGAAAAUAUAUUUUGUCCAUUUUGAACAAAUUGGCACUCUCAUGCCUUGUUGUUCAACUCAUCAGCCUUCUGCCAUCUUUGUCCAGGUUAUUCUGCUGGGCAUCUGUUAGGAAGAGAAAAAAGUGAAGUAUGAGUUCUCCUUGGGCUCUGAGAAGUUCAGUGGGAGCAUUUUCUAGCACAUGGCUGCAGGGAAAUCAAUGGAGAAGGUCAGUCUCCUGCCUUCAUCUUCAGUUCUGCAGUCAAGAAACUGCAGAGCGUAGAAUGGGAACCCAUAAAACUUUUUGGCAAUUCAUCAUCAUUAUCUAAAGGGUUUGUGCAUGGGAUGAGAUUUUUCAAUACAAACAUCACUGAAAAUUCCAGAGGUUGCUGUACACCCACCUACCUCAUUGCAUUAGAAAGGCACAGUCAAAGUGAGCUUAUACCUGCCCAGUUGUACGCUGCUGCUCCUACAGUCAGAGUUCAAGCAGUAUAACUCAAAUAAAUCCUAGUGUGCACCUGGAGGUAAAGGUGGUAAUGUGAUCUCACUUCCCUAACUGCAAGGCAGCUCCAGAGAGCUUCAUUGUUCAGCAGAAGGCUUCGACAGAUUACUAAGAUUUGUUUCUCAGGCCCUGGCUUCACUUGCACUGACUACACACCUCUGUGCUGUUUCUGCAGGUCAUUACUUCUUAUUAUUCUUUUAAUCCUUUCAAGCCCCUAUGAGCUUGAUGAUGACAUAACAUUAAUAAUUGGCUUAAAAAUAUGGACAAAUAUUGAUGCAAUUUAAAGAUAUUUGAAAGCUUGUGCAUAUUGGGCAGUAUUUUUUCUGAGUAGCUAUGACUUGUUUUAUCAGUCAGAGAAACUCUCAGAAGUAUUUAAUCCUGGAUUACAGUACAGAAGAUGACUGGUGAAAGGGAUGUUGUGAACUUUCAAAAAGAGCAGGACAUCUUGGUUGCCAUCUGGUACAACUGCUGCAAACAAUAACAUUUAAAAAUACUUGUAACUAAAAGUUAAGUGAAUUGGCUUUGAUCUACCUGGCUAUAAAAAUUAUUAAUCUACUUAGAAUAAUUAUGAAGCAUUUUUGGCAUGCAGUAGCUUUUCCAAUUUCAAUGAGUUCAUGGACUUCAUUAAUAGUGGUCAUAAAAACACUAGAAGCACUAUGGUUAUUAAUUAGGGAAAAGUUAGUUAAAAGUGAGAAUUUAUAAUUUUCACAAUAUGACACGUUCCCUGAAAGAUUUAGAGUUAACAAGCAAGUAUAUUUUGUUUCAUUGUCAUUGUUAAUA